AUAAUGGGUCAGCGACUUAUAUUCUGUAGCAAGGUUAACCGAAUAGGGGAGCCGAAGGGAAACCGAGUCUUAACUGGGCGUUAAGUUGCAGGGUAUAGACCCGAAACCCGGUGAUCUAGCCAUGGGCAGGUUGAAGGUUGGGUAACACUAACUGGAGGACCGAACCGACUAAUGUUGAAAAAUUAGCGGAUGACUUGUGGCUGGGGGUGAAAGGCCAAUCAAACCGGGAGAUAGCUGGUUCUCCCCGAAAGCUAUUUAGGUAGCGCCUCGUGAAUUCAUCUCCGGGGGUAGAGCACUGUUUCGGCAAGGGGGUCAUCCCGACUUACCAACCCGAUGCAAACUGCGAAUACCGGAGAAUGUUAUCACGGGAGACACACGGCGGGUGCUAACGUCCGUCGUGAAGAGGGAAACAACCCAGACCGCCAGCUAAGGUCCCAAAGUCAUGGUUAAGUGGGAAACGAUGUGGGAAGGCCCAGACAGCCAGGAUGUUGGCUUAGAAGCAGCCAUCAUUUAAAGAAAGCGUAAUAGCUCACUGGUCGAGUCGGCCUGCGCGGAAGAUGUAAC
rnacentral:rRNA from 1 species